UACGGAGACUGCAAGCGUUACUCGGAAUCACUGGGCGUAAAGGGUGCGUAGGUUGUUGGGUGUGACUGACGUGAAAUCCCAGGGCUUAACCCUGGAACUGCGUUGGUUCCUACCCAUCUAGAGUAUCAGAGAGGCAGGCGGAAUUCCCGGAGUAGCGGUGAAAUGCGUAGAUAUCGGGAAGAACACCGAAAGCGAAGGCAGCCUGCUGGAUGAUAACUGACACUGAGGCACGAAAGCGCGGGUAGCAAAAGGG
rnacentral:rRNA from 1 species